UCACGUCCCUUCAGGACUCGUACUGUAUAUACAAAAUGCGCAACUGAUGGUCCCAGCGUGUUCAGUUCGCUUCCAACUACACGACGGGAGUCGGCAGUGCCUUUGUAACAGUCCGCUACGAUUCUUUAGUUCUCUUUUCUUGAAAAACAAAUAAAAACGAUUCGACGUAUUGUGAAAGGCACAACAGAUUUUGUAAGAAAAUAUUGUUUAAAUAAAAACGAAAAUGUCCAACAAGUACUUCCCGAGUUCUUCACCCGACGAAAUGAACGAGAAGCCGAAGAUGUCUCCCGACCAGGAAUCCGCUUUGGAUAUGCAUUUCAACCGGAACAAGACGAUGCAUCCGUCCGAUGUGGCCAUUCUGUCAGCCGAAACGGGAUUGACGGAAGAACAAGUGCAGCAAUGGUUCCUGUUUAGAUUGGCGUCGUGGCGCAAGGAGCAAGGAUUGGGGCCAUUGGUCGGACGCUUAUACGAAUAAUUAAAAGAGAUGAGGUCAACCCACAUCGCUCCGAAUAUAUUUGAAAGGAAAUAGAUCGGCCACAUUGCAGUGAAUAGACACCCACCUUUCCCCCCCAUUAAUCGGAUCUGGUUAUAAAUAUUAAAUAAUUUCUUAUAAAUAUUAUAUACAUUCAGCACAUCACGUCCAAAAAAAAAAAAUUAAAAAAUAAUAAUAAAAAAAAA